rnacentral:misc_RNA from 1 species
GGCCUCUUUAAUUCCACCACCAGUCUCAUUUAUCCCCUACUCCUCUUCCACUUCCAUCUGCCACCAAUCCUGCUCCAAUCUUUCCACCUCCAUCCUUCUCAAAAUCAUUCUCUAGUCCUCUUCCUCCAUCUCCAGCCUCGAUACGCCCUCUCCGUCUUCACCCACCUCCCCAUUCCCCGCCCACCUAUCUCCAACAAAUUCUUGAGGACUUCUUCUCGUAGUGCUAGGCCUAAAACUGUCCUUAGGAGGGAUUAUUCGGUGUAGAUAGGUUUAGGUUUCCUCCGCAGCUAAAAGCAGCUGCGAAGGUCUCUGCAUUGGAUGAGGGGAUGGAGAUUCAUGGGGUUGCCGCCAGGUUGGGUUUUGAUAAAGAUCCGGUUUGGUGGAUUUGUAUGCUGCAUGUGGAAGGAAUUUGGAGGCUCGAUUGGCGUUUGAUAAAAUGCCCUGUCGUGCUGUUCUUAUCUGGGGCAUCAUGAUUUAUGGGUGGGCUUGUUGACACUGCAUUAUUGCAUUUUCUAUUGCUGAAUCAAAGUGUUUUUUUUUUCUUUUAUUGAUGUUCAUUUUCCAACAGCUAUUGUAAAGUUUGCAGCUUUUUGAAGAGAUGAGGAGCUCUAAUUUAGAGCAAGAAAAGAUGGUCCUCUCCACCGUAACAGCUUGUGGUCGAGCUGGAAAUUUAAGCUAUGGAAAGCAUACUAUGAUUUCCUUAAAACUCAGCCCAACUAAACCUUUAUCCCAAAAAU